CGGAGGGUGCAAGCGUUGUUCGGAAUCAUUGGGCGUAAAGCGCGCGCAGGCGGUUUGCCAAGUCUGAUGUGAAAGCCCGGGGCUCAACCUCGGAACUGCAUUGGAAACUGGUAAACUUGAGUAUGGGAGGGGUCAGUGGAAUUCCUGGUGUAGGGUGGAAAUCCGUAGAGAUCAGGAGGAACACCAGUGGCGAAGGCGACUGACUGGAACAUAACUGACGCUGAGGCGCGAAAGCGUGGGUAGCAAACAGGAUU
rnacentral:rRNA from 1 species